rnacentral:rRNA from 1 species
GACGAACGCUGGCGGCGUGCUUAACACAUGCAAGUCGAACGGAAAGGCCCUGCUUUUGUGGGGUGCUCGAGUGGCGAACGGGUGAGUAACACGCGAGUAACCUGCCCUUGACUUUGGGAUAACUUCAGGAAACUGGGGCUAAUACCGGAUAGGAGCUCCUGCUGCAUGGUGGGGGUUGGAAAGUUUCGGCGGUUGGGGAUGGACUCGCGGCUUAUCAGCUUGUUGGUGGGGUAGUGGCUUACCAAGGCUUUGACGGGUAGCCGGCCUGAGAGGGUGACCGGCCACAUUGGGACUGAGAUACGGCCCAGACUCCUACGGGAGGCAGCAGUGGGGAAUAUUGCACAAUGGGCGGAAGCCUGAUGCAGCAACGCCGCGUGCGGGAUGACGGCCUUCGGGUUGUAAACCGCUUUCGCCUGUGACGAAGCGUGAGUGACGGUAAUGGGUAAAGAAGCACCGGCUAACUACGUGCCGGCAGCCGCGGUGAUACGUAGGGUGCGAGCGUUGUCCGGAUUUAUUGGGCGUAAAGGGCUCGUAGGUGGUUGAUCGCGUCGGAAGUGUAAUCUUGGGGCUUAACCCUGAGCGUGCUUUCGAUACGGGUUGACUUGAGGAAGGUAGGGGAGAAUGGAAUUCCUGGUGGAGCGGUGGAAUGCGCAGAUAUCAGGAGGAACACCAGUGGCGAAGGCGGUUCUCUGGGCCUUUCCUGACGCUGAGGAGCGAAAGCGUGGGGAGCGAACAGGCUUAGAUACCCUGGUAGUCCACGCUGUAAACGGUGGGUACUAGGUGUGGGGUCCAUUCCACGGGUUCCGUGCCGUAGCUAACGCUUUAAGUACCCCGCCUGGGGAGUACGGCCGCAAGGCUAAAACUCAAAGGAAUUGACGGGGCCCCGCACAAGCGGCGGAGCAUGCGGAUUAAUUCGAUGCAACGCGUAGAACCUUACCUGGGUUUGACAUGGAUCGGGAGCGCUCAGAGAUGGGUGUGCCUCUUUUGGGGUCGGUUCACAGGUGGUGCAUGGCUGUCGUCAGCUCGUGUCGUGAGAUGUUGGGUUAAGUCCCGCAACGAGCGCAACCCUUGUUCACUGUUGCCAGCACGUUAUGGUGGGGACUCAGUGGAGACCGCCGGGGUCAACUCGGAGGAAGGUGGGGAUGACGUCAAGUCAUCAUGCCCCUUAUGUCCAGGGCUUCACGCAUGCUACAAUGGCUGGUACAGAGAGUGGCGAGCCUGUGAGGGUGAGCGAAUCUCGGAAAGCCGGUCUCAGUUCGGAUUGGGGUCUGCAACUCGACCUCAUGAAGUCGGAGUCGCUAGUAAUCGCAGAUCAGCAACGCUGCGGUGGAUACGUUCCCGGG